GAUGAACGCUGGCGGCGUGCCUAAUACAUGCAAGUCGAGCGAACGGACGAGAAGCUUGCUUCUCUGAUGUUAGCGGCGGACGGGUGAGUAACACGUGGAUAACCUACCUAUAAGACUGGGAUAACUUCGGGAAACCGGAGCUAAUACCGGAUAAUAUUUUGAACCGCAUGGUUCAAAAGUGAAAGACGGUCUUGCUGUUACUUAUAGAUGGAUCCGCGCUGCAUUAGCUAGUUGGUAAGGUAACGGCUUACCAAGGCAACGAUGCAUAGUCGACCUGAGAGGGUGAUCGGCCACACUGGAACUGAGACACGGUCCAGACUCCUACGGGAGGCAGCAGUAGGGAAUCUUCCGCAAUGGGCGAAAGCCUGACGGAGCAACGCCGCGUGAGUGAUGAAGGUCUUCGGAUCGUAAAACUCUGUUAUUAGGGAAGAACAUAUGUGUAAGUAACUGUGCACAUCUUGACGGUACCUAAUCAGAAAGCCACGGCUAACUACGUG
rnacentral:rRNA from 1 species